GGGGAAUUAGCUCAAAUGGUAGAGUGCUUGCUUUGCAUGUGGGAGGUAGUGGGAUUGAUGCCUGCAUUCUCCA
rfam:Poecilia formosa, whole genome shotgun sequence.